rnacentral:rRNA from 1 species
UUAAGCGACUAAGCGUACACGGUGGAUGCCCUGGCAGUCAGAGGCGAUGAAGGACGUGCUAAUCUGCGAAAAGCGUCGGUAAGGUGAUAUGAACCGUUAUAACCGGCGAUGUCCGAAUGGGGAAACCCAGUGCAAUUCGUUGCACUAUCGUUAACUGAAUACAUAGGUUAACGAGGCGAACCGGGGGAACUGAAACAUCUAAGUACCCCGAGGAAAAGAAAUCAACCGAGAUUCCCCCAGUAGCGGCGAGCGAACGGGGAGCAGCCCAGAGUCUGAAUCAGCUUGUGUGUUAGUGGAACGGUCUGGAAAGUCCGACGGUACAGGGUGAUAGUCCCGUACACCAAAAUGCACAGGCUGUGAACUCGAAGAGUAGGGCGGGACACGUGGUAUCCUGUCUGAAUAUGGGGGGACCAUCCUCCAAGGCUAAAUACUCCUGACUGACCGAUAGUGAACCAGUACCGUGAGGGAAAGGCGAAAAGAACCCCGGCGAGGGGAGUGAAAAAGAACCUGAAACCGUGUACGUACAAGCAGUGGGAGCACCUUCGGGUGUGACUGCGUACCUUUUGUAUAAUGGGUCAGCGACUUAUAUUCUGUAGCAAGGUUAACCGUAUAGGGGAGCCGCAGGGAAACCGAGUCUUAACUGGGCGUUAAGUUGCAGGGUAUAGACCCGAAACCCGGUGAUCUAGCCAUGGGCAGGUUGAAGGUUGGGUAACACUAACUGGAGGACCGAACCGACUAAUGUUGAAAAAUUAGCGGAUGACUUGUGGCUGGGGGUGAAAGGCCAAUCAAACCGGGAGAUAGCUGGUUCUCCCCGAAAGCUAUUUAGGUAGCGCCUCGUGAACUCAUCUUCGGGGGUAGAGCACUGUUUCGGCUAGGGGGUCAUCCCGACUUACCAACCCGAUGCAAACUACGAAUACCGAAGAAUGUUAUCACGGGAGACACACGGCGGGUGCUAACGUCCGUCGUGAAGAGGGAAACAACCCAGACCGCCAGCUAAGGUCCCAAAGUCAUGGUUAAGUGGGAAACGAUGUGGGAAGGCACAGACAGCCAGGAUGUUGGCUUAGAAGCAGCCAUCAUUUAAAGAAAGCGUAAUAGCUCACUGGUCGAGUCGGCCUGCGCGGAAGAUGUAACGGGGCUAAACCAUGCACCGAAGCUGCGGCAGCGACACUAUGUGUUGUUGGGUAGGGGAGCGUUCUGUAAGCCUGCGAAGGUGACCUGUGAGGGUUGCUGGAGGUAUCAGAAGUGCGAAUGCUGACAUAAGUAACGAUAAAGCGGGUGAAAAGCCCGCUCGCCGGAAGACCAAGGGUUCCUGUCCAACGUUAAUCGGGGCAGGGUGAGUCGACCCCUAAGGCGAGGCCGAAAGGCGUAGUCGAUGGGAAACAGGUUAAUAUUCCUGUACUUGGUGUUACUGCGAAGGGGGGACGGAGAAGGCUAUGUUAGCCGGGCGACGGUUGUCCCGGUUUAAGCAUGUAGGCUGAUUGUCCAGGCAAAUCCGGAUAAUCAAGGCUGAGGUGUGAUGACGAGGCACUACGGUGCUGAAGUAACAAAUGCCCUGCUUCCAGGAAAAGCCUCUAAGCAUCAGGUAACAUUAAAUCGUACCCCAAACCGACACAGGUGGUCAGGUAGAGAAUACCAAGGCGCUUGAGAGAACUCGGGUGAAGGAACUAGGCAAAAUGGUGCCGUAACUUCGGGAGAAGGCACGCUGGUGUGUAGGUGAAGUCCCUGCGGAUGGAGCUGAGACCAGUCGAAGAUACCAGCUGGCUGCAACUGUUUAUUAAAAACACAGCACUGUGCAAACACGAAAGUGGACGUAUACGGUGUGACGCCUGCCCGGUGCCGGAAGGUUAAUUGAUGGGGUUAUCCGUAAGGAGAAGCUCUUGAUCGAAGCCCCGGUAAACGGCGGCCGUAACUAUAACGGUCCUAAGGUAGCGAAAUUCCUUGUCGGGUAAGUUCCGACCUGCACGAAUGGCGUAAUGAUGGCCAGGCUGUCUCCACCCGAGACUCAGUGAAAUUGAACUCGCUGUGAAGAUGCAGUGUACCCGCGGCAAGACGGAAAGACCCCGUGAACCUUUACUAUAGCUUGACACUGAACAUUGAGCCUUGAUGUGUAGGAUAGGUGGGAGGCUUUGAAGCGUGGACGCCAGUCUGCGUGGAGCCAACCUUGAAAUACCACCCUUUAAUGUUUGAUGUUCUAACGUUGGCCCCUGACCGGGGUUGCGGACAGUGUCUGGUGGGUAGUUUGACUGGGGCGGUCUCCUCCCAAAGCGUAACGGAGGAGCACGAAGGUUAGCUAAUCCUGGUCGGACAUCAGGAGGUUAGUGCAAUGGCAUAAGCUAGCUUGACUGCGAGCGUGACGGCGCGAGCAGGUGCGAAAGCAGGUCAUAGUGAUCCGGUGGUUCUGAAUGGAAGGGCCAUCGCUCAACGGAUAAAAGGUACUCCGGGGAUAACAGGCUGAUACCGCCCAAGAGUUCAUAUCGACGGCGGUGUUUGGCACCUCGAUGUCGGCUCAUCACAUCCUGGGGCUGAAGUAGGUCCCAAGGGUAUGGCUGUUCGCCAUUUAAAGUGGUACGCGAGCUGGGUUUAGAACGUCGUGAGACAGUUCGGUCCCUAUCUGCCGUGGGCGCUGGAGAAUUGAGGGGGGCUGCUCCUAGUACGAGAGGACCGGAGUGGACGCAUCACUGGUGUUCGGGUUGUCAUGCCAAUGGCACUGCCCGGUAGCUAAAUGCGGAAGAGAUAAGUGCUGAAAGCAUCUAAGCACGAAACUUGCCCCGAGAUGAGUUCUCCCUGAGACUUUAAGUCUCCUGAAGGAACGUUAAAGACGAUGACGUUGAUAGGCCGGGUGUGUAAGCGCAGCGAUGCGUUGAGCUAACCGGUACUAAUGAACCGUGAGGCUUAACCUU